GUGUGUGUGUAGGUCACAACAACUCUGGCAGAUGCAAAAGACCAGGCUUGACUUCUUCUACUUCAAGGCUGAUCAUGCUUGGAGAUUCAAUUCUACGCAGCAAAAAAAUGGAUCCGGGCGAUCGAAGGCAAAGUCUUCUUUCCUGUGAUUGACCUUUCAGAUAUGUCCUCUGCAUUUGCUGUUCUCUUCGGUUGCUAUUAUGUGCAUAACAUCAAGUACCAAGUGGAAGCAGCCACUACUUUGGAGUUUAUUCAAAUGUUCAUUGCGAGGAUCAGUCCUGUCAACAGCAAGUGCUCUGCAAAAUUCCAGAUCAGCAAAGAAAGUGGGAAGAUGGUGCAAAGGAGAAACUCUGGCCCGAACCCUCGUGUCCUCCUUCAUUAAGGAGUUUGUGGAUUUCAGCUGGCAGCU